GUUUUGUGAAGUUUCGACACUCGUUGCAUAGAUUUCUCCCACACAUUCAGCAAUUCAUGGCAAACAAACAAUUGACGUUUCACAUUUUCCAAAGCGUCACGUUCGAGGCUCGCGUUUACCAUUUCGCCAAUUUGUUUCAAGGCCUUUGGAAACGAGGAUGAAAAUUGAUAAAAGAACAUGUAAGGGUGAUAACGUUCAUCUUUCGCACUGUAUUAUGAAACUGUAUUUCCCUUAAACCUGUGAUUAACACGUUCACAGUCUUCUGGAGCACUCGUGCACUAUUUUUUUUUCUUUGUUUAGUACUUGCUCUUUUGGAUGUAUUCAAUCUUUGUACGAUAAAGAAAUAUAUAAGAAUAAUAGUAAUUAUUAUUAUUGGGUUGUCCAGAAAGUUCGUGCCAAUUUUUAAGAAAAAUUCAAAGGUACAUUUGAAUUUUGAUAUAUAUUUAUUGAAUUAUAUAAAUAACAUUUUGCUCCACGAUCUUCCCACCUUUUAAGAUGCACCCAUGCUAAUUGUUUUCAACCAUUCCAAUAUAAACAGACGUGUACCACUUACCAAAAAUCACCACGGACUUUCCAGACAAACUAAUAUAUAGUCAUGUAAUAACAAAGAAGUCAAAAACUCAGGUGGUAUUGUAAUAUAGUACCUAAUCUAAAUAAUAAUUCCUCUACCGACUAGCAGCCUUUUCAACCUAGUCUUCCAAUUAUAAUUUUAUUUGAAAUAACAACAAGAUCGAAGCAUCGACUUUCCCGUGUACACGAUUAGUAGCAUGAAAACAGGGGAAGAACAUUUGAUAUUAAAACUUUAUCGCCUACGUUUAAGUGACGCUCACGUGGACUGUGAAUGUGUUAAUAAUAAUCACAGAAGUACUUUUCCGUUAUAGAUUUACCUCGAGCAAGAAGUGGUGUGCAACAGGAAGAAUUUCCUUGAAAAUUGUUUGCUCCAGCAAGUUCACUGGACAAGUGGGCAAGCAUUCUUGCAGAGCCUGCUGCAAAUAUUCCUCUUCGAACUUGUCGCGCAAAUUCUCCAAGGCAUUGAACAGAAUUAUUAGAAAGGAUAUUUUUAAUGUCGACGAGUAAUUUUCGGUGCAAUCUUCGAGGACCUCGUCGUUAUCCGAGAAGGAAUCAUCCAGCAAAGAUGUGAACGAGCCCUCGUUCUCCAUCUCCUGCAAGUUCACAAAAUUUACGUCUGUUCAGAUAUUCCUGAAAGUUCAUAAAAUUUACGAUUGUUUAGAUAUUCUUGAAAGUUCACGUGUUCGCGACACGUGACAUGAUUUACGCAAGAAUGUUUCUUACGGAACGAUCGAAAGACACGUCAGCGUCAAUCGACACGUUGCAUGUUUUUUGCUACAACGGACGUUUCAAAAGAAUCGCUCGAAACGAUGAGCACAAGUUUCGUUUCAAUUGUUAAACUAUUCCCCUGCUCGAAUAUAAAAAUGUCUCAUAAUAUUCAUGAUAAGUUUCAUUUCAAUUAUAAAGCUAUUCCCUUUUUUGAAUAUAAAAAUGUCUCAUAAUGUUCAUAGUAAUUUAUUCAUAAUAAUUUUGACUCCGUAAAUUGGCUACUAGUAACUAAUGAUGAAUUGUACGCGUCACUUGGGCCCAAUUUUAUGGGUAAACUCAAUUUAUAAAUGAGAAAAACAAAUGAGCUGUACUGUACGACAGGAAAUGCUUCUCUUCCUAGAUACUCCUUCGGUCAGCAUACGUUAUUCGUUAUCAACGUCUAUUUAUAUGUCUACGUACCAGUUAUGUAAUUUCCGUGAAUGAAGAACGAAUGUACAUUUCGCCAAUGUAUUAUGCAGACCUAUUGCAAUAUUAUUCAUAGGAACCCUUUUGUUUAAAUGCACAUACAGAAUACAUUUGUUUAAUUGUAAGAUUUUUAAUGUACGCUAUACAUGUUUUUUUUAUGUUUCUCACGAUUCAUUAAUAACAUUGUACGUAUAUGUAAUAUUUAUUUACGUUCGUAUUUCUUUUUAUUUUACUAUUUUUAUAAUAAAUGUUAUUUCCUUUA